AAGGCGUAACGAUUUGGGCACUGUCUCAACAGCAGACUCGGUGAAAUUGUAAUUCCGGUGAAGAUCCCGAAUACCUGCGACAGGACGGAAAGACCCCAUGUAGGUUUACUGUAGCUUGACAUUGGGUUUUGGUACUACAUGUACAGGAUAGGUGGGAGGCUUUGAAACCAGGACGCCAGUUUUGGCGGAGCCAUCCUUGGGAUACCACCCUUGUAGUACUGGGACUCUAAC
rnacentral:rRNA from 1 species